CAGCUGUGAACACAUUUCUUGUUGGUGGCCGUGACUUCUGUUUUCAAGCACUUCCAAAGAUCCUCCUGGUUGCUGAGGACCGUUCUACACUCCUGCCUUCAUAGCCCUAAGGCCAGCCUAGAUGUUGGAAGAGCAUCUGCACUUCCCUGAUUAGUUUCUGGUGGCUGCAGCCAUGCCCCACUGUUAAGUUGACAUCUGGGAGUCCCAAAAUUUGGAUGAUGCCAGUUGUGAAGCUGUGAGUUUGUUCGCCCUCUGUAAGUACGGUUGAUUGGAGAUUAUGGGGACCUUUCAGAGGCAGUUCUCAGCUUUCCUGAUAGAGUCUAAUUUGAAAUUCCACAGGCAGAGAUGAUGUGGAGCAAGAUCUCUGCAUAGUAGUUGUGGCUUUCCUCCAUUUUUGUGCGCAGAGUUGGACUUUAAUAUUGUAUAGACUUAAUAAAGAAACAAGAUGUGUAAAGAUGUUAAGAGCAGGGCUUCUCAACAAUGGCACUAUUGACAUUUGGGCUAGAUUAUUCCUUUUUUUUUUUUUUUAAGUUUUUGAGUGGGGAAGGGCAGAGUGAGAGUGAGAGAAUCCCAAGCAGGCUCUACACCCAGCACAGAGCCUGGCAUGGGGCUCGAUCUCAGGACUGUGAGAUCAUGACCUCUAGAGGUGGACGCUUAACCACCUGAGCCACCCUGGCACCCCUGUAUGAUUCUUUGUGGCACGUGCGUAUUGGUGGGGGUGGGGAGAGCUGUCUUGUACAGCGAAGGAUGUUUACCAGCAUCCUUGGACUCUACCCACUAGACUCCAGUAGCAUUCUAUCCUUCUGUUCCAGUUGUGACAACUAAAAUAUGUCUCCACACAUUGCCAAAUGUUCUCUGGGGCAAAAUCAUACCUGACUAGAACCACUGCUAAGAGAAAGCAACAAGAGAAGUACUGUCUUUGGGGGUCACAUGUGAUCCAAGGAUCAGUUGGUGGAAAAUGGUGUUUCAAGCUGUGUUUCCAGUCUUGGGCACUCACCUAUGAAGUGCAAGCUGUGGCAAGAAUCAACCUUCUAGAUCAAAGGGAUAUAAUGACAAAAGAAAAGGACGAAGGUAAGGGAGGGGCAUUUACACUCUUGGAACACCCAAACUUCCCCAAUGAGGGAGCAAAUGUCUCCAUGUGGCUUCAUAGCAUCCUCAAACGCCUGAGAGGGAAAUCAGACCCUCUUCUCCUGCAUGCUUGCUCAAUGCCACGCUACUGGUCAGUGUCACAGUUGAGAUCCCACGGCUCCAGCUAA
rnacentral:lncRNA from 1 species